rnacentral:rRNA from 1 species
UGAAUACGAGAUGCUACGGCGUCGAAGCAGUCUAUGUCAUACUUCCAAGAAAAGCUUGCACUGUCAUAAACAAAUAAUGCCUGUACCAUAACCGACACAGGUGGGUAGGUAGAGUAUACUAAGGGGCGCGAGAUAACUCUCUCUAAGGAACUCGGCAAAAUGACUCCGUAACUUCGGGAGAAGGAGUGCCUUAUUUUAUAAGGUUGCAAUAACAAGAUCCAAGCAACUGUUUACCAAAAACACAGGUCUCCGCUAAGUCGUAAGACGAUGUAUGGGGGCUGACGCCUGCCCAGUGCCAGAAGGUUAAAGAAGUUGGUUAGCAUCCGCGAAGCUGAUAACUGAAGCCCUGGUGAACGGCGGCCGUAACAAUAACGGUCCUAAGGUAGCGAAAUUCCUUGUCGGGUAAGUUCCGACCCGCACGAAAGGCGUAAUGAUUUGGAUACUGUCUCAGAGAGGGGCUCGGUGAAAUAGACUUGUCUGUGAAGAUGCGGACUACCUGCACCAGGACAGAAAGACCCUAUGAAGCUUUACUGUAACUUGAAAUUGAAAUUGGACUUUACUUGCGCAGUAUAGGUGGGAGGCGUUGAGAAUAUUCUUGCGGGAAUGUUGGAGCCAUCAGUGAGAUACCACUCUUGUAAUGUUAGAUUUCUAACUUUGUAUCAUUAUCUGGUCAAAGGACAGUUUCAGGCGGGCAGUUUGACUGGGGCGGUCGCCUCCCAAACGGUAACGGAGGCGCACAAAGGUUUCCUCUGAACGGGUAGAAAUCGUAUCUAGAGUGUAAAGGCAUAAGGAAGCUUGACUGUGAGACCUACAAGUCGAGCAGGGACGAAAGUCGGUCUUAGUGAUCUGACGGUGCUGAGUGGAAAGGCCGUCACUCAACGGAUAAAAGUUACUCUAGGAUAACAGGCUGAUCUCCCCCAAGAGUUCACAUCGACGGGGAGGUUUGGCACCUCGAUGUCGGCUCAUCGCAUCCUGGGGCGGUAGUACGUCCCAAGGGUUGGGCUGUUCGCCCAUGAAAGCGGUACGCGAGCUGGGUUCAGAACGUCGUGAGACAGUUCGGUCCAUAUCCGGUGUAGGCGUUAGAAUAUUGAGAGGAGCCUUCUUUAGUACGAGAGGACCGAGAAGGACAUACCUCUGGUGUACCAGUUAUCGUGCCAACGGUAAACGCUGGGUAGCUAUGUAUGGAGUGGAUAACCGCUGAAAGCAUCUAAGUGGGAAGCCCACCUCAAGAUAAG